rnacentral:misc_RNA from 1 species
UGGCUCUCCCAUCGAUGAAGAACGCAGCGAAAUGCGAUAAGUAAUGUGAAUUGCAGAAUUCAGUGAAUCAUCGAAUCUUUGAACGCACCUUGCGCCCUUUGGUAUUCCGAAGGGCAUGCCUGUUUGAGUGUCAUUAAAUUAUCAACCUUGCCUGCUUUUACUAGUGGUGCUUGGCUUGGAUGUGAGGGUCUUUGCUGGCUAUUCUUAAAUUGAAUUGGUCUGCUCCCUUUAAAUGCAUUAGUGGGAUCUUUUGUGGACCGUCACUUGGUGUGAUAAUUAUCUAUGCCAUUAUGACUUUGAAGCAAUCUAAUAGGAUCCUGCUUAUAACCGUCUCUUCGGGGACACUAUACAUUUUAAUUUUGACCUCAAAUCAGGUAGGACUACCCGCUGA